rnacentral:tRNA from 2 species
CAAAGUAGAGCUUGAAGAGAGCAAUUCAUUUACAUUGAAUAGGAUUUGUGCAAUUCAAAUAUUUUGA